AGGAAGUUUUAUUCUUGCUUAAUUACUUAUUUUAAUUUAAUUUUAUAUAUAAGGUUUGGUAUAAAUUUGUAUUUCUUAAGGAGGUAUUAAAGGAUAAAAGUGUAGUAAUAAAUUUUAGUUUAUAAAAGAAAUUUUGAUUUAGUUAUUUUUAUAAAAUAUUGAUUAAAUAUGUGCCAGCAAUCGCGGUUAUACAUCAAAUGUAAGUAAGUAUAUUUAGUUAUUUUAGUUAAUUAGUUAAAUUAAUCUAUAUUAUUUAUUUUUAGGUGAAAUUUAAAUUUUUAUUUUGGGUUAAGUAAAGUGAAAGAGAGGGAAAAAAUGAGGCUAUAAAAUUUAAAUUAUUUAGACUAGGAUUAGAUACCCUAUUAUUUUAAAAUUAAAUUUGUUUUAAACUUAAGUAGUAAUAGAUAGGGUCUUAAAACUUAGAGAAUUUGGCGGUAUUUUAGUCUAUUUAGAGGAAUCUGUCUCUUUAUCGAUAAUCCGCGUUGAACCUUACUUAAUUUAAUUUAAUAUGUAUAUCGCCGUUUAUUGAAUAUCUUUUUAGAGUAAAAUUUUCUUUUAAUUUUAUUUAAUUAAAUUUCAGGUCAAGGUGCGGUUAAUAAUUAAGUGUAAGAUGGAUUACAAUAUUUAUAAAGUAAAAUGGAUUAAUUUUUGUAAAUAUUUUAUGAAGGAGGAUUUAAUAGUAAUUAAUAAUAAGAAUUAUUUUUGUGAUAUAGCUCUAGAAUGUGUACACAUCGCCCGUCACUCUCGUUAAUAAAAUGAGAUAAGUCGUAACAAAGUAGGUGUACCGGAAGGUGUAGCUAGAUUGAU
rnacentral:rRNA from 1 species